GGCGUGGCGGCAGCUUACACAUGCAGUCGAGCGGUAGCACAGGGGAGCUUGCUCCCCGGGUGACGAGCGGCGGACGGGUGAGUAAUGUCUGGGAAACUGCCUGAUGGAGGGGGAUAACUACUGGAAACGGUAGCUAAUACCGCAUAACGUCGCAAGACCAAAGAGGGGGACCUUCGGGCCUCUUGCCAUCAGAUGUGCCCAGAUGGGAUUAGCUAGUAGGUGGGGUAAUGGCUCACCUAGGCGACGAUCCCUAGCUGGUCUGAGAGGAUGACCAGCCACACUGGAACUGAGACACGGUCCAGACUCCUACGGGAGGCAGCAGUGGGGAAUAUUGCACAAUGGGCGCAAGCCUGAUGCAGCCAUGCCGCGUGUGUGAAGAAGGCCUUCGGGUUGUAAAGCACUUUCAGCGAGGAGGAAGGUGGUGAGCUUAAUACGCUCAUCAAUUGACGUUACUCGCAGAAGAAGCACCGGCUAACUCCGUGCCAGCAGCCGCGGUAAUACGGAGGGUGCAAGCGUUAAUCGGAAUUACUGGGCGUAAAGCGCACGCAGGCGGUUUGUUAAGUCAGAUGUGAAAUCCCCGGGCUCAACCUGGGAACUGCAUUUGAAACUGGCAAGCUAGAGUCUCGUAGAGGGGGGUAGAAUUCCAGGUGUAGCGGUGAAAUGCGUAGAGAUCUGGAGGAAUACCGGUGGCGAAGGCGGCCCCCUGGACGAAGACUGACGCUCAGGUGCGAAAGCGUGGGGAGCAAACAGGAUUAGAUACCCUGGUAGUCCACGCUGUAAACGAUGUCGAUUUGGAGGUUGUGCCCUUGAGGCGUGGCUUCCGGAGCUAACGCGUUAAAUCGACCGCCUGGGGAGUACGGCCGCAAGGUUAAAACUCAAAUGAAUUGACGGGGGCCCGCACAAGCGGUGGAGCAUGUGGUUUAAUUCGAUGCAACGCGGAAGAACCUUUACCUACUCUUGACAUCCAGAGAACUUUAGCAGAGAUGCAUUUGGUUGCCCUUCGGGAAACUCUGAGAACAGGUGCUGCAUGGGCUGUCGUCAGCCUCGUGGUUGUGAAAUGUUGGGUUAAGUUCCCGCCAACGAGCCGCCAACCCCUAAUCCUUUUGUUGCCAGCGGUUCGGCCGGACUCAAGGAAACUGGCCAGUGACAUAAACCUGGAACGCAAGUGGGGAUUGACGUCAAGUCAUCAUUGCUGUACGAGUAGGCCUUACAACACAUACGUGU
rnacentral:rRNA from 1 species